GGUGUCCGCGAGUUGCCGAAUGAAGCUGAGCGUCUCAGUGGAACCAGGGAUCUCAGGGAGAACCUUUUUGUGAUGAAAACGAGAUGAAACUAUGGAAGAACCAGAGAAGCAUCAGCCUGAGAAGGACUCAACUGAUUAUUGCUGGCUUUGAAGACAGGAAGGAGCCAUGAGCCAGGGAAUGCUGGUGACCUCUGGAAGCUGGAAAAGGGAAGGAAGUAGAUUGUCCUCUAGCCCCUUCAGAAAGGAAUGCAGCACUGUGACACCUUGAUCUCACAGUAGAAAACGGAUGAACACACCUAGAUUUCUUCCCGCGUGAAUCCAGUUG
rnacentral:lncRNA from 1 species